GAGUAAAGUGGCGCACGGGUGAGUAACACGUAGGUUAUCUGCCUUUCAGUGGGGAAUAACUUCGGGAAACCGGAGCUAAUGCCGCAUACGUAAGUAAUUAGAAAGUGGGCGCCCGCAAGGGGCUCAUGCUGAAAGAAGAGCCUGCGUCCUAUUAGCUAGUUGGUGGUGUAAUGGACUACCAAGGCAACGAUAGGUAUCCGGUCUGAGAGGAUGAUCGGACACACUGGAACUGAGACACGGUCCAGACUCC
rnacentral:rRNA from 1 species